UACAUGGUGGUGCAGUUGUUAGCACUAUUGCCUUGCAGCGAGAAGGUCCCGGGUUAGAAUCCUGGCCAAGGAA